rnacentral:rRNA from 1 species
CCUACGGGUGGCAGCAGUCGAGAAUCAUUCACAAUGGGGGAAACCCUGAUGGUGCGACGCCGCGUGGGGGAAUGAAGGUCUUCGGAUUGUAAACCCCUGUCAUGUGGGAGCAAAUUAAAAAGAUAGUACCACAAGAGGAAGAGACGGCUAACUCUGUGCCAGCAGCCGCGGUAAUACAGAGGUCUCAAGCGUUGUUCGGAAUCACUGGGCGUAAAGCGUGCGUAGGCUGUUUCGUAAGUCGUGUGUGAAAGGCGCGGGCUCAACCCGCGGACGGCAUAUGAUACUGCGAGACUAGAGUACUGGAGGGGGAAGCGGAAUUCGCGGUGUAGCAGUGAAAUGCGUAGAUAUCGAGAGGAACACUCGUGGCGAAGGCGGGUUCCUGGACAUUAACUGACGCUGAGGCACGAAAGCCAGGGGAGCGAAAGGGAUUAGAUACCCGAGUAGUC